rnacentral:hammerhead_ribozyme from 1 species
GUCCAACUAACGAGUCCAAAGUAGGGCGAAACGCGCAUCCUGGAU